CAAUAGCGUAUAUUAAAGUUGUUGCGGUUAAAAAGCUCGUAGUUGGAUUUCUGUUGGGAACGACCGGUCCGCCCAUUGGGUGUGUAUCUGGCUUGUUCUCGGCAUCUUCUUGGUGAACGUUGCUGCACUUGACUGUGUGGAGCGCUACCCAGGACUUUUACUUUGAGGAAAUUAGAGUGUUUCAAGCAGGCAUAUGCCUUGUAUACAUUAGCAUGGAAUAAUAAGAUAGGACCUCGGUUCUAUUUUGUUGGUUUCUAGAGCUGAGGUAAUGAUUAAUAGGGAUAGUUGGGGGCAUUCGUAUUUAACUGUCAGAGGUGAAAUUCUUGGAUCUGCUAAAGACGGACAACUGCGAAAGCGUUUGCCCAGGAUGUUUUCAUUGA
rnacentral:rRNA from 1 species